UAUUUUGACAUCUCUUACACAGGGAUUUUGUUUCUGGACUUCUCCUCAAAAUCAGCCCAGAUAAACGUCAGUGGAAGCUGAGAUUCCAGGAGACCUGAUAAUAUUUUCACCCCACAAUUGCCCAGCAGAUAGAGGUCCACCAAACUUCACAAGACAGAGCUGGUUUUGGAAAGACGAGGCCUCCAAUGCUCCAGAAAUGAUGGAAACCAAGGGAGCCGGGGUGAGGCACCGGGGGAAUGGACCAGCUCACACCGUGGCACUGGCGGUCCCUCCUGCUCCAGCUGGAUCUUCACCCCCUGGUUUUCUUAUCACUGGUGGCCACUUGAUGGAGAUGCCCAAGUCAGAGACCAUCUUAACCCAGGUUCCUGCCGUUGGGACAGAGGAUCCAGCUCCUCCAAAAAUGGUGAUUCUCCUUAUCCUAAGGUUUGCUUCACCCCCAGAUGUGUUUCUCUACAUAGACCAUAGCGAUGUUCUGGGGCAGGCUGAGGCUUUGGUGUCCUCUGCUCCUCCUCCCUUGCCCCAGUCCUUGCCCAACACUGAUGUUCAUGCAUUCCCAGUUCAUUCAGGACCAUAUUUUUCUUUUUUCCCCUCCAUGGUGGGGAUACAGGGGGAGAAGAAG
rnacentral:lncRNA from 1 species